AGAGCGAACGCUGGCGGCAGGCUUAACACAUGCAAGUCGAACGGAUCCUUCGGGAUUAGUGGCGGACGGGCGAGUAACACGUGGGAACGUGCCUUUAGGUUCGGAACAACACAGGGAAACUUGUGCUAAUACCGGAUGUGCCCUUCGGGGGAAAGAUUUAUCGCCUUUAGAGCGGCCCGCGUCUGAUUAGCUUGUUGGUGAGGUAAAGGCUCACCAAGGCUACGAUCAGUAGCUGGU
rnacentral:rRNA from 1 species